GAAAAGUUAGUUAAUAUUCUAUAACAUAAAAUUGUCAAUUUUAAAUCACUACUAUUGUAGUACCUUUCU
rnacentral:tRNA from 1 species